UGAGAAGUUAGCCAACCAUCCG
rnacentral:miRNA from 1 species